rnacentral:rRNA from 1 species
UUAGUAACUGCGAGUGAACAGGGAAAAGCUCAAAUUUAAAAUCUGGCAGCCUCCUUUUUCUACUUUGGCUGUCCGACUUGUAAUCUAGAGAAGUGUUACCUGUGCUGGACCAUGUACAAGUCUCCUGGAAUGGAGCGUCAUAGAGGGUGAGAAUCCCGUCUUUGACAUGGAUUCCCAGUGCGCUGUGGUAUGCUCUCAAAGAGUCGAGUUGUUUGGGAAUGCAGCUCCAAAUGGGUGGUAAACUCCAUCUAAAGCUAAAUAUUGGCGAGAGACCGAUAGCGAACAAGUACCGUGAGGGAAAGAUGAAAAGCACUUUGGAAAGAGAGUUAAACAGUAUGUGAAAUUGUUGAAAGGGAAACACUUGAAGUCAGACAUGUCUUGUAGGGAUCAGCCUUGCUCUUUUGCUGGGUGAAUUUCCUAGUUUGACAGGCCAACAUCAGUUUUGACUGCUAGAAAAGAGCAACGGGAAUGUGGCACCUUCGGGUGUGUUAUAGCCUUUUGUUAUAUGUGGCAGUUGGGACUGAGGAUAAAUGCAGCGCGCCGCAAGGCCUGGUUUCGACCAAGUUCG